rnacentral:rRNA from 1 species
UACGUAGGGGGCUAGCGUUGUCCGGAAUCAUUGGGCGUAAAGGGCGUGUAGGCGGUGCGGUAAGUCGGGCGUGAAAUCCCCGGGCUUAACCCGGGGCGGUCGUUCGAAACUGCCGUGCUAGAGUGCAGGAGAGGGAAGUGGAAUUCCCGGUGUAGCGGUGAAAUUCGUAGAUAUUCGCAAGAACACCAGUGGCGAAGGCGGCUCACUGGCCCGAUACUGACGCUGAGGCACGAAAGCGUGGGGAGCAAACAGG